rnacentral:rRNA from 1 species
CAGCCUGCCCAGUGACUACGGGUUCAACGGCCGCGGUAUUUUGACCGUGCAAAGGUAGCGCAAUCACUUGUCUUUUAAAUAGAGACCUGUAUGAAUGGCUAAACGAGGGCUUAACUGUCUCCCCCUUCAAGUCAGUGAAAUUGAUCUAUCCGUGCAGAAGCGGGUAUAACCAUACAAGACGAGAAGACCCUUUGGAGCUUAAGGUACAAAAUUCAACCACGUCAAGCAACUUAAUAAAAAGCAAGAACUUAGUGGAAAAUGAAAUUUUACCUUCGGUUGGGGCGACCACGGAGGAAAAACAAGCCUCCGAGUGGAAUGGGCUAAAUCCCUAAAACCAAGAGAGACAUCUCUAAGCCACAGAACAUCUGACCAAAAAUGAUCCGGCUAAUAAAGCCGAUCAACGGACCAAGUUACCCUAGGGAUAACAGCGCAAUCCUCUCCCAGAGUCCAUAUCGACGAGGGGGUUUACGACCUCGAUGUUGGAUCAGGACAUCCUAAUGGUGCAGCCGCUAU